AUGGCCAACAGAGUGAGUGUGUCAUUACCAUACAUCUAUCAGUGUCAUCCUGUGUGUGUGUGUGUGUGUGUGUGUGUGUGUGUGUGUGUGCAUGCGUGUGUGUGUGUGUAUGCCUCUCUCUCUUGUCCUCUUUUAGCAGCCUGGGUCAUAUUGGACGAAUGGCUGGCCUUGUUCUUACCCUGGCUGUUUGCUGAGCUGGGAAGACUAAAGUCUAUAGAUAGACAAGAGACUUGGAAUGCAAGGGCAUCUGGUGCAGGCCUUAAUCCCAAAGUAGCCUGAUGGUUGAGAGCAAGUGAGUGUGUCCAGGCAGACUGGAGCUUAUCUGCUGGAGAAAAAAAAAGCCUGUCCGUGCUUGCUGUUAACACGUCUCGUUCCUGCUCAACUCUGGGAGCUGUGCAGGGUGACCUGGGUUAAUUGCAGCUGCAGAGAUGAACAGCCUGGGUCACCUUCGCUACGAAAGAGAUGGGGAAAAAAUGAGGUAAUCAUAGAGGACGGCUGAAGCUGAACUGCAGAGAUUUUUUCAGGACAGUUUCUAAUGGCUGGUAGAGGACUUUAGAGGGGAGGAGAGGACGAGACAGGUGUGAAAAGGAGGCAUUGCUUACAACUGGUAUUAACUGAGCUCAGGUGAUUAAAAGUGUUCAGUCCUAAAUAGAGAUGUAAACGGAGUCCAAAACCACAUUCAUAUGUUUCACACUUUACAAUUUCUGGAGAAAACUACAGCCAUUUUUUAGUUUUGUUUUUUUCAUUGUUUGACUGUAUACAUGUAUUACUUUCUCCUUCUUUACCCAGUCAAGUGUUUCAUUAAUAGCCAUUGAUAUCUUUUCUUUUGGUAAACAAAGUCUAAUGUAAAUGCAGCUAUAGAGAGGGAGCUGAAAUUAUUCCAUAAAAAUAAGAAUUGUCCAUUUUGAUUUCAUGGUGACUUUAAAAGAAAAACGUCUGAUCAGUAAAUUCAGUAAAGUAGAUAAAAUACUAUCUUGUCCAUCUUGUUUGAUCAUUUGUGGUCUAAUAAUAUGGGCUGGAGAAGAACAGUGUGGCCAGAUUUGAGGCUGUGUUUUGUCUAGUGGUCCUACUGUUUUGUGUUAAAGUGACCCGAGCGCACUCUGUCUGACGCUUAAGACUGUUUUGACACUCGCUCACGUUUGUAUCCCUGGAGUCACACACAUAGGCACACAGAGAAAUGCUUCAGGAACACAGUGAACAUUUUUCAUGUGUUGUAAGCGAUUUCAAAAGGCCAUUCCAUCUUCAUUUUACAACUUCAUGGUCUCCCUGGUAUGUUCUCCAUGCUGUUUCCUUCUGUCUAAGGCACAGCUCUUGCUCUUUCGCCCAGUCUUAAAACAUUAGAGGUGAAAGGUCAGCAUGGCAAGGCUGCAGAUUAAGUUUCACAUGACUGAGCACCUUUGUUGGGGCGGCCCACAAGAAAGGAAAUGUCUUGCAUAUCUGAAUCCAAGAGGAGGGUCGUGCAGCUCCUCCUUCUGAGUCCUGUGCUGAGAUUGGCCACUGUUGCAGCAUGGCAAAUGUAAAAACGUGAAUCUUUUCAUUUCAUUUUUUUAGCUUUUUUUAUCUUAUCUGUUGUCAAAAUAUGUAAUUAGAUUAAUAUUUUGUAAAAAAAAUAAAAAAAAAUAAAUAAAAGUAAAGUAAAUAUGC
ensembl:lncRNA